CUGUUCUGUACACUGGGUCAUACUGUUCACCCAGUAACUUAGACUGCAGUGAUGUUGACAUGCAAUCAAUGACGAUACAGUCAGAAUCUUUCUGGACUCCGUUUAUUUAUUUAUUAGGUUCCCCUGAAUUAGCUGGUGCCGAGGCAGCGGCUGCUCUUCCUGGGGUCCAAAAAAGGAAUCAAAACACAACAAACAAAACCCAGUACUACAUUAACAUCCAGAGACCCACACAGCUGAGUGCAUUCGUCUCAAGAUACCCAGGCAGACAUAUACCACAGUAGUAUCACAUACCCAGACAGACAUAUACCACAGUGGUAUCACAUACCCAGGCCCAGACAGACAUAUACCACAGUGGUAUCGCAUACCCAGGCCCAGACAAACAUAUAUAGCAUACCCAGGCCCAGACAAACAUAUAUCACAUACCCAGGCCCAGACAAACAUAUAUAGCAUACCCAGGCCCAGACAAACAUAUAUCACAUACCCAGGCCCAGACAAACAUAUAUCACAUACCCAGACCCAGACAAACAUAUAUAGCAUACCCAGGCCCAGACAAACAUAUAUCACAUACCCAGGCCCAGACAAACAUAUAUCACAUACCCAGGCCCAGACAAACAUAUAUCACAUACCCAGACCCAGACAAACAUAUAUCACAUACCCAGACCCAGACAAACAUAUAUCACAUACCCAGGCCCAGACAAACAUAUAUCACAUACCCAGGCCCAGACAAACAUA
ensembl:lncRNA